UGGCUCUCGCAUCGAUGAAGAACGCAGCGAAAUGCGAUAAGUAAUGUGAAUUGCAGAAUUCAGUGAAUCAUCGAAUCUUUGAACGCACCUUGCGCUCCUUGGUAUUCCUUGGAGCAUGCCUGUUUGAGUAUCAUGAAAUUCUCAAAGUAAAUCUUUUGUUGAUCCAUUUGGUUUGCUUUGGUCUUGGAGGUUCUAUUGCAGAGGGGUUUCACUCCUUUGCUCCUCUUUGUGUAUUAGCUGGAUCUCAGUGUUAUGCUUGGUUUCACUCGGCGUGAUAAGUUAUCACUCGUUGAGUACACUGUAACAGGUGGCCAAGGUAAACGCAGAUGAACCGCUUCUUAAUGGUCCAUUCACUUGGACAAAUAUCUUUUAUGAUCUGAUCUCAAAUCAGGUAGGACUACCCGCUGA
rnacentral:misc_RNA from 1 species